CUCGCCUCGCGGCACUGCGGGCUCAGUGCGGCCGCCUCGGCGCGAACCAGUGAUUUAUGUAAUGUCCCCACCUGAGAGCGAGGAAAACCUAUUAGCAACUGCGUCCCUCGGAUCCUGAAGCUCCCUGGAGACCUCACCGUCCCCUUUCCACCCUACCUGGCGGCUCCGCGGCUCCACCACUUGCCAGACUAGGAGGAUUAAGUCGGUCUCAUCAGAGCCCAGGUGCAAAGGCUGGGCCUUAGCCUGGCUUCAGGAAGGGCCCACGGUGCCAAAGCAUGGUUGGAGGUGAGCAGGCCUCGGUGCUGGGGAAGAAAGAAGCGCGUUCCCACCACCUCGGCCCCAGCUCCCAAGAGCGGCACCCCAGACGGCACUGAACCAGAAGCUCCCGACCAGAAGCCUCACUCCUACCCCAGUUCCUGUGGAGGGCUCCCAGCACCCUUUCGCCCAGUCAGGCUUGCUGAGGCUCCUUUAUGGUUGAGUCUCCAGGCCGCUCCGGACUUCCCCCGGUUCUCCCAUUUAUGCGACUCAGAAACUGAAGAUGAAUCCAGCGGGUAGGAGGGACUCCAGCCCAGCAGAAGCAGACACAUAGGGAGGGUUGCCAAGCCCCAGCCGAAGCUGGGGCGAGAGCCACACCUCACUCUUUCGGAGAAACUGGGCGCUGCGUCCAGACCUUCGGACCACUGAGAGAGCGAAGGAGCCCAGCGUAGAGGGGGCGCCUACGAGGCUUUGUCCACUAAUUCACACUGCAUCGCGUCCCCAUUUGACGGAUAAGAGACUGAGGCGUCUGGGAGGGUAAUGACUCGCGCUGGGACACGGCGGCCAAGAGGGAGAGGGAAGUAGACGGGUCUUCCAGCGGCUUUGGGCAACAAGCACUUCCCCCUGGGAUGUACGCGAGUGUCUGCGCUUUACUGCCCUACGCGAGACUGCUACCCGGCGCCUGCACACUUAACCCCACCCCCGCGAAGCGCUAAGCCAAUCAGGACCGGAGGGAGGAGGAC
rnacentral:lncRNA from 1 species